rnacentral:rRNA from 1 species
UACGAAGGGGGCUAGCGUUGCUCGGAAUCACUGGGCGUAAAGCGCACGUAGGCGGACUCUUAAGUCGGGGGUGAAAUCCUGGAGCUCAACUCCAGAACUGCCUUCGAUACUGGGAGUCUUGAGUUCGGGAGAGGUGAGUGGAACUGCGAGUGUAGAGGUGAAAUUCGUAGAUAUUCGCAAGAACACCAGUGGCGAAGGCGGCUCACUGGCCCGAUACUGAC